rnacentral:misc_RNA from 1 species
GAAGUGCGAUAAGCAAUGCGAAUUGCAGAAUUCCGCGAAUCAUCAGAUCUUUGAACGCAAAUGGCGCCAGAGGGAUAUCCUUUUGGCAUGUCUGUUUCAGUGUCUGAGAGGUUUCACACAAAUCUUAAUGUGAUUGACGAAGCAGGUUGGUUUUUUACCAAAUCAGCCAGCUAAGUCUCUCAUGAAAGAUGCGCGAGUGGAUCUUUCGGUCCAAUGAAGUGGUCACAUCAUCAAGCAUGUGAUUUCAUUGGGAGCACCGAAUUAUCCGUUUUCUCGCUGAAAUCACACAUAUACCACUCUAUACCCUGCAUCUGAGAUAGGCAAGAUCACCCGCUGAACUUAA